CCUACGGGAGGCAGCAGUGGGGAAUAUUGGGCAAUGGGCGCAAGCCUGACCCAGCAACGCCGCGUGAAGGAAGGAGGCUUUCGGGUUGUAAACUUCUUUUAAGAGGGAAGAGCAGUAGACGGUACCUCUUGAAUAAGCCACGGCUAACUACGUGCAAGCAGCCGCGGUAAUACGUAGGUGGCAAUCGGUGUCCGGAUUUACUGGGUGUAAAGGGCGUGUGGCCGGGCUGACAAGUCAGAUGUGAAAUUCCGGGGCUCAACCCCGGACCUGCAUUUGCAACUGUUGGUCUUGAGUAUCGGAGAGGCAGGCGGAAUUCGUAGUGUAGCGGUGAAAUGCGUAGAUAGUAGGAGGAACACCAGUGGCGAAGGCGGCCUGCUGGACGACAACUGACGGUGAGGCGCGAAAGCGUGGGGAGCAAACAGGAUUAGAUACCCGGGUAGUC
rnacentral:rRNA from 1 species